CAGAGACAUACUUAUUAUUGCUGUUGCUGUGAUUCUCGUUGUGACCACUGUUAUUGCCAUUACGAGGCUCAAUAAUAAUAAUACGCGGGCACCAACUACUGACUGUGGGGAGAACAUACAGGUGGCACCAACAACUCUGAAUACAGAGAGCGUAAACUGGCUCAUCUGUGAUGAUC